CUCUGGCUGGUCAGGUCUCGGUCCAUUGUCAUCUUGGUGCUGCGUUCGGUUGGAGGCUAUAGGCAUCAUUUUUGGAAUCAGAAAACAACUGUGCCUAUUUUUGGCAAUUCCUGUCUUCCAUCAUAUAAUAGUAUGUGAGUUCUUGUUCCUUUCCUUGACCAUUUAGUUUGGCAAGACGAAUGUCCCAUGUUAUGUGUUCAUGGAUUCAUAUAAUUUGAUUCAUCAUAUAGGCGUGUAUUUAGGAAUUCCCUUCUCUUGCAGAAUAGGGUGUUCAUGCAGCAGUAUACAUCGCUAUGCAAGUUUUUGUUCGCUACAAGAUGAUGUUGCAGUAUGUUACUGGACAUCAAGUAUCCCCCCUUUUUUCUUGUUAGCUCCAGCUGACAGUUAUACUAUUAUCUUUGUGCAUAGUUGGUCGUAUUAUUUGAAUAUAACAUACUAUGCUCAACAUGCGGCAUUCUGAUUUCAGUUAAGAAACAAAUUUAGAGGAUUAAUAAUAUAUUACUUAAACCUUCUUGAUUAAUGAACCAACCAUGCAUACAGCUAUACUAAAUAGGAUGGCAUAAGAUAAGCCACAUAUUUAGAUUUUAAGUGGAAAGGCUUCAUCUCUUGUAAGUAUAUCAGAUGAUGCAAGGCGUGUCAGUGUUCUUUUUGGAUAAUAUUUCUGGUUUUUGUGUAGGUUUGUGCAGAUUUAUGCGAUGAAUUCUGGUAAUGGAACAUCAAUUAUGUCCUUCCCGGUGGCGUAAAUGAACCGAGAAAAUGCAGUAGGUAUGGAUUUAGUAUUUGUAAUCCAGUUGACAUAGUAUUCAUUGUUGCUCUAAGAUGUGAUUUGUUCUUAUGGUCAUGUGGCAAUGAAGUAAGGUCUCCAUUUUAGUGUCAAGAUACUGGCCUUGAAGGUGAACUUUAGUUCCUCUGAGGAGGCCAAGAUGCUAGCUAUCAUCUUCAAAUGCUUUCCCAAUGUUGAUACCCUGCAUACCAAGGUUACGUUCUGCUACCAGUCUUCUGCACAGUCGUUCAGUCUUCAUAUUUUCUUUUCACUCAGAUGACUGUAUUAACUGCUAUAUUUUGCAGUCAUCGCUGCCGAUGGACCCACUGGAUGGCACAAUUCCAAGUUUUCGUGAUAGGUGGACUCCGUUGUCCGCCCCUCCUGCCUGACGACAUCUAGCUCCCACUUGACUUGCAUCUGCACUGUCACAAUUUAUCUUUGCGACACGGUCGGCAUCGUCAUUGAGCCUGGAUUUGCCCUCUUCAUUGCCUAGAGUCGCCUUUGCCGCAGUGCCCGUCGCCAAUGUCCAGCAAGGAGGACGUCGCCGUGCUCGACAAAGCAGCACAAGAUGGAUCAGAAGUGCAGUGUCGCGCGUUGGUGGCCUCUGUCAGGGAGGACGCCUUGCUGUGCUACAGGUGAACCACACAUCCUAGGUCUGUCUCUCCCUCAUGUGUGAUCUGUCCUCACAUGUACACCCUCAUGUGUGAUCUGUCUUCACAUGUACAAUGAAAUUUCUUUACUUCUCCCAUACAAGUAGUAGACUGUAAUUUGUCUACUUUGUGAUCAUGUGAGAUAUUAUUAGAGAUUCAGUACAAUACUCCAUUUUAUUUUAAAUUUGACAACUCAAGUGAUCUGGCUUUAUUUAGUGCAUGCUACAGCAGGUUUCAUCAGGAACCAUCGGUCCCUGUAAAUUGGUUUGGCCUUUGGUCAUAUUUAUUCAAACACUUGGAAGAGUUCUCAUGUCGAAUUCCAUGUUAGAUAUAGCUGAGAAGCUACUGCAAAUGAGUUCUUUAAUUUAGUAAAUAUAUUGGCUGCUCCUUCUCCCCCAUUUUAUUAUUAUGAACCUCUUAGCCACUUUACUGAAUAUGUGCCAAAUUGUCUUCGCUAUCAGUUAGGAUAAGUUCUCUAUCCACCUUGUGUAACUUCGUUCAUGGAAGUAAGAUAAAAAAAACUGAUCAUGUUCCUUAAUUGCUAUUGUUCUUUGGGUAUGUUUGGAAUAUAAGACCUCUCUAUCCAACUUUAAUGUACCUUCGGUCAUGUAAGUAGGAUAAAAAAACUGAUCAUGUUCCUUAACUACUCUUGUUCUUUUGGCGUGUUUAAUAUAAGAUCCUUCUGUUUGGUUUCUCUGAAAUCUUCAGCCGUCCCUUUUUCUUUUAGUCAUCGUGGUGUCUUUGAUGCAUCUUUUCGUUAUUUCUAGCCAGGUGGUCACUGCAAAAAGAUUUUCUGAGCUCAAGCCCAAAACAAAUGUCAACGGAAAAUCUCAUACAAUUUCUGAAAAACUAAGUUUGAUUUAUUUUUUAAAUGUCUAUUCGAAUUUUGGGUGGAUUGUUGUGCUCAUACAACCGCAAUAACAUCAUGUUUUCAUGUGCAACAAUUCCUUAUGAAUCAAUCUAUUUUUUCCUUUUGGUGGUGGUUCUCUGGAUUUCAAGUUUCAACAAGGCUUCGACCUCAUCCACGAAAAAGUGAGAAAUUAGGAAUUGUACCCUAGGUUGGACGAACUGACCUACGCUUAAGAUACAUGGUGUGGCCGGUUAAGUUGGCACAGAGCACCUAAUAAAAAUGUUCCUAGACCAUGUUUGGUCACUGUGCUGGACCUUUGCGUUUGGACUCCCAAGAUAUAUAUGCACUGUUAAGAAACAAGGUUCACAUACCAAAGGCUAAGAUAUUGUUUUGUCUAGACAGUGUCCCUCCUUAGUAUUCAUGUGACCUGGUAGCUAUACAAUUUGUCAUUUUGUACAAGCCAUGGAUACCUGCAUGAUGAGUUCAUUUGUAUGUUGUCUGUACUCAACCUGCUUAUUUCUUACUGCUUUCUUAACUGUCAUAUCAACUUGCUUCAGCUGUGAUGAUGAUUUUAACUUUUUAAGGAACCACCGACAUCAUCUGCCACGACUCAGCUAAGGUAAAUUACUUGUGUGCUAGGUACAUCCCUGAUGAUUAUUUGUACCAGGUCUGCUUAUUUUUAAUGGUUAGCUUAACUGCUCGAUUCACUUGUGAUUGAUGAUCCAAAUGAACCAUGCCAUCAACUACCACUGUAUUGGGUGGGAUGAAUGCGUAAGAUGGAGAUAUCGCCCUCCACUAGGUGAUGCAAGCUUACAUUAGUAUCACAAAAUGUUCAUUCUUACUACUCACUUUGUUUCCUCGACAAUGUUCCUUUAUAACCGGAGGGCUUUCGUUUUCUUAAGAAAAUAAGAAGUUGUUCUUUGGCUCAAUGUACUUUUCAGAAUCUGGCUUCAGCGAGGUUGAUCGAUUCCUCGAGUACCUUGGUCAAGAACCCGACCGAAUAUUAUGGAAAGUGUGCUUGAUGAUGAAUUCAUGUAUGUUACAAAUGGCUGUCUUGCAAUCUAUUAUGUUAGUCUGAAAAUGAGAACCAUCAUGUCGAGCAUUCCCUCCAUCACCAAUGUAUAUAUAAAUGUAUGAAUGGCAGGCUUCUUUGUGGUUUGUCCA